rnacentral:rRNA from 1 species
CCCUACGGGGGGCAGCAGUGGGGAAUAUUGCACAAUGGGGGAAACCCUGAUGCAGCGACGCCGCGUGAGUGAAGAAGUAUUUCGGUAUGUAAAGCUCUAUCAGCAGGGAAGAUAAUGACGGUACCUGACUAAGAAGCUCCGGCUAAAUACGUGCCAGCAGCCGCGGUAAUACGUAUGGAGCAAGCGUUAUCCGGAUUUACUGGGUGUAAAGGGAGCGUAGACGGCAGCGCAAGUCUGGAGUGAAAUGCCGGGGCUCAACCCCGGAACUGCUUUGGAAACUGUGCAGCUAGAGUGCGGGAGAGGUA